ensembl:lncRNA
GCAAUAUUAGAGCUCACCUCGAGUAUCUUGAGAUAUGGGUGUGUCGUUACUGGCCGUGGCUGUUCUUACUAAGUCACUUUAGAUAAGAGCUUCUGCUAAAUGUCUGCUGAAUGUAAAUGUAACUGUAGAGGCCUGCUCACUGGUUUGUGAAGAAGACCAAGAUACACCGUGCUGUAAAUCAAAGAUCUUCCUCAAAUCUGUGGGCAUCAUAUUCGGAAUGUUGCCGAAAAUUUUCCAGUCGCCAGGCAACAAGAAGGCAAAAAUUUAAAUAGCAACAGGCAAGAGAAAUGAAGCCACUGCCUCUCCACACUGCAGGCUUUAUACAGAAUUAAACUGUAUUAUCACCACUUUAAGGGAAUAAUGGACUCCAUUGUGAAGAAAAUUCAAGAGCUUGAUGUCUCCAAUCCUGUUCCAGAGGGAUGGUACAAAAGGUCCUUCUCAGGAAAGGCAGACAAGAUACACAGUGGCAGCAAAGGCCCUUCAGAAGCAGGUAAAAUCUUUACUCUGUGCUUUAGCUGUUUUAUUGAAGAAUAACUGGGUUUUAAUGGACGUGUGAA